rnacentral:sRNA from 1 species
CAUUAUGGUUGGAGGUGAAAGCUUCCGUUAAGGUUCGAGUCGGGCGGUGCGGAAUAUUGCAAACGUGCGGCGCGAAGGGUGAGGCGCGAAAUGGCGAACAGCCUUUCUCCUGCCCCCA